rnacentral:lncRNA from 1 species
UCAAUUCGUUAAAGUCUAGAAUCAGAUUCUCGAGGGUUUUGAGGUUCAUGAGCUCCUCUGGGAUCUGUCCAUGGAGCUGAUUCAGCCACAGCAUCAAAUGCUGGAGCUUAGUUAAGGAGCCCAGGCUGGAGGGGAUCGUCCCUGUGAGGUAAUUGAAGCUGAGAUCAAGGGAGACCAGCUGAGAACAGUUGCUCAGAGCCUCUGGUAUACGACCAGUGAACAAAUUGUUCUGAAGAUGAAGCUCCUUCAGGCUGUUCCUGGGAUCUCCACACAGUCCGGAAGGGAUCAAACCCGAAAA